rnacentral:rRNA from 1 species
GACGAACGCUGGCGGCGUGCCUAAUACAUGCAAGUCGAGCGGACGAAUCGAAAGCUUGCUUUUGUUUCGUUAGCGGCGGACGGGUGAGUAACACGUGGGCAACCUGCCCUUUAGACGGGGAUAACACCGAGAAAUCGGUGCUAAUACCGGAUAACACGAAAUGUCGCAUGACGUUUCGUUGAAAGACGGCUCUAGCUGCCGCUACAGGAUGGGCCCGCGGCGCUUUAGCUAGUUGGUGAGGUAACGGCUCACCAAGGCGACGAUACGUAGCCGACCUGAGGGGUGAUCGGCCACACUGGGACUGAGACACGGCCCAGACUCCUACGGGAGGCAGCAGUAGGGAAUCUUCCGCAAUGGACGAAAGUCUGACGGAGCAACGCCGCGUGAGCGAAGAAGGCCUUCGGGUCGUAAAGCUCUGUUGUUAGGGAAGAACAAGUAACGAAGUAACUGGCGUUACCGUGACGGUACCUAACGAGAAAGCCACGGCUAACUACGUG